rnacentral:rRNA from 1 species
CCUACGGGAGGCAGCAGUGGAGAAUCUUGCACAAUGGGCGCAAGCCUGAUGCAGCCAUGCCGCGUGCGGGAAGAAGGCCUUCGGGUCGUAAACCGCUUUCAGGAGGGAAGAAGCGAAAGUGACGGUACCUCCAGAAGAAGGACCGGCCAACUACGUGCCAGCAGCCGCGGUAAU